rnacentral:rRNA from 1 species
UACGGGGGGGGCAAGCGUUGUUCGGAAUUACUGGGCGUAAAGGGCUCGUAGGCGGCCAACUAAGUCGGAUGUGAAAUCCCCAGGCUUAACCUGGGAACUGCAUCCGAUACUGGAUGGCUUGAAUCCGGGAGAGGGAUGCGGAAUUCCAGGUGUAGCGGUGAAGUGCGUAGAUAUCUGGAGGAACACCGGUGGCGAAGGCGGCAUCCUGGACCGGCAUUGACGCUGAGGAGCGAAAGCCAGGGGAGCAAACGGG